UACGGAGGGUGCAAGCGUCAAUCGGAAUUACUGGGCGUAAAGCGCGCGUAGGCGGUUUUUUAAGUCGGAUGUGAAAGCCCCGGGCUCAACCUGGGAACUGCAUCCGAUACUGGAAGACUAGAAUGCGGGAGAGGGAGGUAGAAUUCCAUGUGUAGCAGUGAAAUGCGUAGAUAUAUGGAGGAAUACCAGUGGCGAAGGCGGCCUCCUGGCUCGACAUUGACGCUGAGGUGCGAAAGCGUGGGGAGCAAACGGG
rnacentral:rRNA from 1 species